AUUUACGUGGAAUUCACAAAACCACAUGGAUUUCACGUGGACACGUUCCUGUUUUCGUGGGGCCGCUUAUCAAAAGAAGCAGUAAUUUAUAUAUGUGACUCACUUCAAAAUAUUUUGCAACGUAAAGGAAGAAGAGGAUUAAGUGUAGAAACACAGGUUCUUAUCAAAAAGAUAUUGGUAUUGAUUAUCUGAUAUCUAUACCACAACCAGCAACUAACAGAGCAAUAAAAGCAGUAGCGAUGAAUAUUACGCAAUUGCUUAUUGCCAAUGAGUGGAUCAAUUGAUACAAAUUCCCAAACACAGAGGAAAAACGAGCAGCUUUAAAAGAAAAAUUUCGAAAGGAAAGGAAUUUUAAAGGAGUAAUAGGUUGCAUAGAUUGCACUCAUGUCGCUAUUGUGGGACCAAAACAUCACGAGGAAUCAUAUAUAAACCAUAAAAGGUUUCCAUUCAAUUAAUGUACAGGUAAUAGCGUCACAUGAUUUGGAAAUCUUAAACGUCAAUGCUAGAUUUCCUGGAAGUGUCCAUGACAGCUUUAUAUGGAGACAUUCUACAAUAAGGGAUGAAAUGCAACGAUUAUAUGAUUCUGGAGAUCGAACAACAUGGCUUUUGGGCGAUGCAGGUUACGGUUUGGAACCUUGGCUGAUGACACCUAUCACAGAUGCACCAGAGCUAUAAGAUGCAUAACGUUAUACUAACAUUAUAAAAAAAUAGCAUUUUAAUAAUACAGAAAACAAUGUGAGGAAAUAAUACUUAAACUAUGAUAGAAAUAUACAAUAAAACUUA